UAUUCUUAUCCUCUGGGCCAGUGGUUGCUUACUGCUAUGGGGCGGGGCCUUUGGACAUACAGUUUUUUGUUUUUGUUUUUUUCCCCGAAGCCAAGUAAUUGGAAUGAGUCCACUUUAAAUUCUUUAACGACAAUCCAUUGGAGGGCAAGUCUGGUGCCAGCACCUGCGGUAAUUCCAGCUCCAGUAGCGUA
rfam:Mus musculus chromosome 19, GRC primary reference assembly.